CCUACGGGAGGCAGCAGUGGGGAAUAUUGGACAAUGGGGGAAACCCUUAUCCAGCGACGCCGCGUGAGGGAAGAAGGUUUUCGGAUUGUAAACCUCUGUUAGUGGGGACGAUAAUGACGGUAUCUACGGAGUAAGCACCGGCUAACUACGUGCCAGCAGCCGCGGUAAUACGUAGGGGGCAAGCGUUGCUCGGAAUCACUGGGCGUAAAGGGCGCGUAGGCGGGAUGGCAAGUCAGAAGUGAAAAUUAUGGGCUCAACCCAAAACCUGCUUUUGAAACUGAUAUUCUUGAGUGAAGUAGAGGCAGGCGGAAUUCCUGGUGUAGCGGUAAAAUGCGUAGAUAUUAGGAGGAACACCAGUGGCGAAGGCGGCUUGCUAGACUUUAACUGACGCUGAGGCUCGAAAGCGUGGGGAGCAAACAGGAUUAGAUACCCCUGUAGUC
rnacentral:rRNA from 1 species